ACGAACGCUAGCGGCACACUUUAAGCAUGCAAGUCGAACGGUAAGGCCCCGCAAGGGGUACACGAGUGGCGAACGGGUGCGUAACACGUGGUUCACCUAUCCUUUAAUUGGGGACAACUCUCAGAAAUGAGAGCUAAUACCGAAUAAUCCCGCGAGGGGAAAGCAGUAAUGCGUUGAAGGAGGGGACUGCGGUCUAUCAGCUUGUUGGCGGGGUAAAGGCCCACCAAGGCGAUGACGGGUAGCCGGUCUGAGAGGAUGGCCGGCCACAUUGGGACUGAGACACGGCCCAGACUCCUACGGGAGGCAGCAGCUAGGAAUUUUCCGCAAUGGACGAAAGUCUGACGGAGUGAUGCCGCGUGAAGGAUUGAAGGCGUUUACGCGUUGUAAACUUCUUUUAUCUAGGAAGAAGGUGUGGUGUAGGCCACAUUGACGGUAUUAGGUGAAUAAGCCCCGGCUAAUUACGU
rnacentral:rRNA from 1 species